UAAUUUAUUUGAAGUAGAUUUUCAUUUAGUUAUGACAAACUUAGACUUGAUUAUUUAAAAUCAUUCACUACUAUAUGAAUAAUAAUUUUUUGAAAU
rnacentral:pre_miRNA from 1 species